rnacentral:tRNA from 1 species
UAUCCCGUGGUGUAAUUGGUAACACGUCUGGUUUUGGUCCAGAAGAGUAUAGGUUCGAGACCUGUCGGGAUAACAA